rnacentral:rRNA from 1 species
AUUGAACGCUGGCGGCAGGCUUAACACAUGCAAGUCGAGCGGGGUGAUGGUGCUUGCACUAUCACUUAGCGGCGGACGGGUGAGUAAUGCUUAGGAAUCUGCCUAUUAGUGGGGGACAACAUCUCGAAAGGGAUGCUAAUACCGCAUACGUCCUACGGGAGAAAGCAGGGGAUCACUUGUGACCUUGCGCUAAUAGAUGAGCCUAAGUCGGAUUAGCUAGUUGGUGGGGUAAAGGCCUACCAAGGCGACGAUCUGUAGCGGGUCUGAGAGGAUGAUCCGCCACACUGGGACUGAGACACGGCCCAGACUCCUACGGGAGGCAGCAGUGGGGAAUAUUGCACAAUGGGCGCAAGCCUGAUGCAGCCAUGCCGCGUGUAUGAAGAAGGCCUUCGGGUUGUAAAGUACUUUCAGCGGGGAGGAAGGCGACAGGGUUAAUAACCCUGUCGAUUGACGUUACCCGCAGAAGAAGCACCGGCUAACUCCGUGCCAGCCGCCGCCGUAA